ACUAUACCGACUUCGGGUCGAAGUACCCACCUGUACGUGUGUAGCAUCUGUCUUCCUACUGUGGAAGAAUGUCAACCGGACCUACGGAGGGUUCACUGGGUUAGUAUCUAACCCACAAAUGUGAAACACUAAACUCACAAUCCCACCUUUAAACCCACGGAAAUCGGUUUCCUAAAAUCGAUUACCAUAAUUCACCGGAAGUCUCGAAAAUCGCACCGAGACUCCGUCGGGACA
rnacentral:lncRNA from 1 species